GACAGAGGGGGCAAGCGUUGUUCGGAAUUACUGGGCGUAAAGGGCGCGUAGGCGGCCUUGUAAGUCGAACGUGAAAUCCCCGGGCUCAACCCGGGAACUGCGUCCGAUACUGGAAGGCUUGAAUGCGGGAGAGGGAUGCGGAAUUCCAGGUGUAGCGGUGAAAUGCGUAGAUAUCUGGAGGAACACCGGUGGCGAAGGCGGCAUCCUGGACCGGUAUUGACGCUGAGGAGCGAAAGCCAGGGGAGCAAACGGG
rnacentral:rRNA from 1 species